UACGGGGGGGCAAGCGUUGUUCGGAAUUACUGGGCGUAAAGGGCUCGUAGGCGGUUUGUCGCGUCGGGAGUGAAAACCCAGGGCUUAACCCUGGGCUGGCUUCCGAUACGGGCAGACUAGAGGUAUGCAGGGGAGAACGGAAUUCCUGGUGUAGCGGUGAAAUGCGCAGGAUAUCAGGAGGAACACCGGUGGCGAAGGCGGUUCUCUGGGCAUUACCUGACGUGAGGAGCGAAAGUGUGGGAGCGAACAGG
rnacentral:rRNA from 1 species